rnacentral:lncRNA from 1 species
GGAACUGUCAGGGAACUGAAGCCCCCUGGCCCUGAACCAAAUCCCGGCACAGGAAAGCCAGGCUGUUUCUUACAGGAAACCCCAUCCAGCGAAUGCCCACUGCUGCCAGUGCCUGUGCGCACCCCGGAGACGCAUCAGACAACCAGCAAAACCAGGCCCAUUGGACUUCACAGAUCUCUCCUGGUGCAGCCGGUUCGGAACCUUGUGGAGUUGGCUGCCUGCCCGAGAAACACAUGUGCAAUCCCACCCUUCCUCAACCAACCUACACACUGAAUGUACAUGCCAACUAGAUGCCACGUGAGUGAUAUACUCAGACAAGAGAGGAUGCUGUCCCUAUUUCCAGAUGCUUCGAGUAGGAGCUAAGGUGAAGGUGGUGGAGGUCUCUAGUCGGAUGCUCAAUUCAGACCCCUUUUAAAUGUACUCUAUCGAGGGUGAUUACCCUACAUAAUCAACAUUUUAACAAGAACCUCUGGAGUCACUGUUAAUCACCUCAGUACUCCUUCAUGUCCAUGGCUCACUCUGCAACACAGAGAACCAGGCUUCAACCAGGAAUGCAUUCACCAGAUCUGCUUCCGAAGACACUGGGACAUUCCUCCAAGGCUUGAGUGCAGAAGUCUGUCUUCAGUCCACUCACUGGUCAGCCACAGCCAUCCACGGGUCCAUUCACAGAUGUAGUCGGGCGGGGUGGGGGGCAGCGGCAAUGGUCUUGAAUUUGCAGAGAUUCUCUUCACACUUGACGUUUGGUGGAGGGACAAGGCUGGGCAAUUAAAAUAUGGUUGGACCCACCUCCUCAGAGUAGAGGGAGAUUCUCUGCUGUCUUGUCAGCAAAAGAUGCACCAAUGUGCAGGGAAGGAAGAACACAGAGAUACAGAAUUCUAUCAAUCAGUGUUUUGAUGGGCCGGGAAGGAGAUGAAUUUAAUCUUCUCUUUAAUUGUUUGUCAUUGCAUACAAGCUGAAAGCUAAGGUGGCGCUCACAAAUCUGCCUUUCUCCCCAGCAACUGAAUUUUAAUAUCAAGGCAGUGAAGGUCAUUGCAGAAUUUGCCUUAUGUUUGUAUGAACUAAAUCUGGAGACAAUCUCAAAUAUUUACACUCAGUGCCAACUCCGUUCUUUAAAGGGUAGGAGGGAAAGGUGAAUGCCACGUGUAGGUCCUGUGGAUGCCCUCCAAUCCCACGCUCCUCUCUGGAGGAGGAGAGAGUGACAGGACACUGGAGAUGCUGCUAGGAGAGACUGAGCUCGCCAAUCACUUCCCUGCUGCAAGGAGGACUAGGGAUAUCUCUCCCACCAACUUACAACCCAGCCUCAAGGCUACUGACUCAAGACACAGAAACAAGAUCGGGUGUCAGGACAUACAAUACAAAUUCUGAAAGUAACAAA